rnacentral:rRNA from 1 species
AGAUGCCUGGAGUCCGUGAAAAGAGAAUAGAUAAGGAUCAUAAGUAACUGUACCAAGAACCAACACUGGUGUGGCUAGCUGAGAAAGCUAAGGGAUGAAGGUUUAAACUAGUUUAGGGAAUUCGACAGAUUAGCCCUGUGCCUUCGGUAUAAGGGGUCCCUGCGUCUGUAUGUUUAGCAUGCGGAUACAGGGUUCAAAGAUCAAGGUGGUCCGACUGUUUAAUAAAAACGUAACGUUUCGCGAGCCUGCAAAGGUGUGUAUGGAACGUGACAUCUGCCCAGUGCCUGUAUCUCAAACUCCUCUACAAGGGAGCUAAGGACAGGUAAACGGCGGGAAUAACUAUGAUUCUCUUAAGGUAGCGCAAUACCCUGCCGAUUGAAUGUCGGCUUGCAUGAAUGGGGUAACGAGGCCGCCAUUGUCCCAAGCUAGUGUCCUCCGAAUAUACUGUACUGGUGUGAAGGCCAGUGACCUCCAGUGGGAAGCGAAGACCCCGUAGAACUUUACUACAGCUUGGCGUUGUGGUAUAAUGCUCGGUAUAUAGCAUAAGUGGGAGCCGUUUGAUGUCCAAUCCGUCAGGGUUGGUCUAGGCAACAGUGUAAUACCACUUUCCUUGUGUUGUAUCGCUAACUCUCUAAGAGAGAACAUCGUCUGGUGGGUAGUUUGGCUGGGGCGGCACCCUGCUGAAAAGAUAUCAGUAGGGCCCAAAGGUAAGCUCAUCCGGUUUAGAAAUCCGGAGUUGAGUGCAAGAGCAAAAGCUUGCCUAACUGAUUUCCAACCGUUACGGAAGUCAGAGACGAAAGUCUGGUCUAGCGAACCCCUAUGUCCUUAUUGAUGAGGGCUAGGUAUGACAGAAAAGCUAUCUCGGGGAUAAUUGAGUUGUAGCGCCUAAGAGUCCAAAUCGACGGCGCUGCUUGCUACUUCGUUGUCGGCUCUUCGCAUCCUGGAAGUGCAGAAGCUUCCAAGGGUACGGGUGUUCACCGGUUAAAGCGGAUCGUGAGCUGGGUUAAGAACGUCGUGAGACAGUUUGUAUGAUAUCUACUGGAGGUGUUGAAGUCUGAGUGGAAGGAUCUUUUAGUACGAGAGGAACAAAGGUUCGGCGCCACUGGUGUACCAGUUGUCCGACAGGGCAGGCUGGGCAGCUACGCGCCAAGGGAUAAGAGCUGAAAGCAUCUAAGCUCGAAACCCCCCGCGAAAAUAGACUGAGAACACCUGUAGAACACAGGUUUGAUAGGGUCGGGGUGUAAGUACCAAGGCAACGAGGUAUUCAGCCCGCGAUUACUAAUAGUUCGUCUUAUCUUA